GACCCAGUUAAAGUGGAGGUCAUAAAUUUGUAGUGAUAUCUAUUGACCUUAGUCUUAGCUCUUGGAUUUUGCAGUUGGUGCACUGAGGCUUGGGUAUAGAACAGGACUUGUGACUCACAAUCCAGGGUGUCUUGGGAAAAUCAGCAAGAUAUAUUAAUAAAGGCAUUGAAAUGCAGGAAAGAUUUCUUGAAGCCAUAGAGUAUGUGUCAAAGGAAAAAAAAAAAGAAGAGAGCUGGGGAUGUGGCUCAAGUGGUAGCGCGCUCGCCUAGCAUGUUUGAGGCACUGGGUUCGAUUCUCAGCACCACAUAAAAAUAAAAUAAAGAUAUUGUGUCCACCUAAAAAACUAAAAAAUAAAUAUUAAAAAAGAAGAAAAACGAAGAGUUAUGAAGAAAGCAGACAUCAGAAUCAGAUGGUGAGGAAAAGCAGUCUUGUGGAGAAUGUUGUUUAUGAUGAAUCUGUAAAGGGACAGAUGAGUGUGGCUAUAAUUGGCUUUUUUAUUUUAAAUGUGGAACUGUAGGAGGCUGAAGUGUUGUCAAAGUACAGGCCAUUAAAGUCAAAGAAGUAAAAAAGCUUUCAGGAAACAAUGUCUAAUGAAUCCUUUAUGUCUCCACCCAGCCUCUACGUCCUCAAGGAAUGAAAAUGAGUGACUAGGAGUCUUAGCGUCAAGGAGGGAAAGUGUGAUAUAGUUGGAAGUCAUAAACAAGAAGUAGCACAUCAGCAACACCCUUUCUAAUAAGGAGCUGAAAACUCAAUUUGUGUUCUGUUUUGAUUCAGAUUGCAAGAAUUACUUCAGAUCACUGUAAUUUUUUGAGGCUAUUUAACAUGUGAACUUUGUAUUUAUUUUAAAAUACAUUCAACUUACUUACAUGCUCUUCCUUCUUGACCCUCUUUCCGCCACUGUGUGUUUUGCUUGUUUUAUGUAGCUGCAAGUUGUGUAUCUUGGCUUCUCUCUUGCUUGAAGCUCAGUAUCUGCUCCCUAAACCCAACCAUUCAUAAUUUUCUUCCAGACUAGUCAAACCAGCCUACCAGUAGAAUCUUCUGUAGUUUCUGUCAAGCUUACUCUUGCCCUCAUAUAUUUUUAUUUAUUUCCAAAUUUAUCUUAGUAAAUCAGAGUAGUUAGUAUUGCAUUCCCUAUUUUAAAGACUGUGUAGGAUGAACCAUGUUUUAGUAAGUGAAAUCCACACCCCUUAGCCAAGUCCUCUGUUUUUCUUACCAUGCAUCACAAAUUUUUGUUUAUGUCUCUUACUAUAUCUUUACACAGACACUGUAUCAGUGGUACUCAAAUGUAGCCCAUGAUCAGAACACCUAAACUUCUAGAGAUUGCAUCCUAGGUUGCACUUAGUGAUUGAAUGAAAACUUUGCAUAUAGGACACCCAAUCAGAUUUUUUUUUUUUUUUUUGGUGAAUGAGCAGCUUUGUAUUCUACAUGAUGUAUUGUCUCACUGCAGGUCUAAAAGCAAUUGGCCAACUGACAAUGAACUGAAACCUCUAAAACUGUGAACCAAAAUAAACCUUUCUCCUGACAAUUAUCUCAGGUAUUUUGUCACAGUGGGAGGAAGCUGACUAGCUCACACAGUCCUAAAUGUUUCAGUAUGAAACAGACAUCAUAUGCUUAUCAUAUAUAUUACUUAUGUUCUUUUAUUUAUUUAAUCUCUAAAAAUUUCUAUAGAAUAGAAAUAAAUGAUGUUGAGAAAUGUGUCAUAGAUUAUACACAUCUGGAAGUUACAAUGCCAGGAUUUAACCAAAGCUUCCAAAUCUGAAUUUUCAUUAAGAGAAUAAGAUACUGUCUUGGUAUCCACAUCAAGUAUCCAAUUCAAACUGGAUACAUUGAUUUUGUACCAUCUUUCUUGCAACAUAAGUUCUUGAUCUUCUCUGAUGGUAAUUGGUCCUUGUUCAAAUUUGCACCUGUGAUAUCUGACCUAGUUUCAGCUGUGUUUUGUUUUAGAUUGGCUUCUCUGUCACUAAAAUCUACAAUGAGGAAAAGAAUUACUGAAUCUCAAAUUUUUCAGUCCAUAGUGGUUGAAUUAAGAUUAAUUUGAUUCAGCAAACAUAUAGAUCUUUUAGGUAUACAAGGUUUUACAAAAAUAGAACAAUUAAAUAACACUUUACCAGAGAUAUCAAGGGCUCCAAAGAAGGGUCCUGAGGAAGGGAAAGGGAACCCAGAGAACAGAUGAUUCAGUGUCUCAAUUUAUAAGGCAUGAAAGGUAAAUGAAAAUGAUCGUUAUCCAUUUGUAAAGGUUGAAAAGACUAUUUCCCCCUUACCUUUUUUCUUAGAUACAUAAUGAAACUAAGUUCUUCCUUUAAAUUUUGGAGUAGAGAUGUAUUCCUUCCGCUUUUAAGCUUUGUCUUCAUGUGCCCUGAAUAGGGACUUCUUGGGAGCAUUUACUCAAUUCUGGGAUUUAUCUUACUUGUGUCUUUUUUAUCUUUAACUGCAAAAAUUCUUAGACUUCUAUAAAUUCCUAAUGGUAAUCACAAUGCUAAUUUCCUAGCACAACCUUAGAAAGAAAUUUCCAGUCAUGUUACGCUAAGGUUUCUUUUCAUAUUUACAUAAAUAUGGCAUAUUUUUUUCUGAAAUCCUGAAUAAAGCAAGAAGAUGUUUCUGGGAAGCAAUAAUUGCAUCUUACAUGUUCUCCUUGUUGUUGUUUUCUGCAUACUUUUUGCACAGCACUUUUCCAUUAGCACAUUAUAUGCAAAACAAGCUAAUGAGAUACAGAGAGAUGGUACUUUAAUUCCCACAUACAAAUGCUGAAACUGAUGUACAGAGAUGUCCAUAGGUUUGUCCCAGUAGGAUACUGUUGGGGGGAAGUCUGAAGCAAUACUGUUCUCCUGCCAUUUUGCCCAUUAGUCCUUAUUACAUUUGACAGACAUUUUGGACAUGACUGAAUGCUCAGGAGAACUGCUCAUCUCCCCCGAGAACUAAAAAAGAAGCAAAGAAGCUGACUAGCCUCCCUGUGCACCCCCUGCCAAUGUCUUAAACCACCCUACAAAGAAAAAAAUAAAACUCAGUGUAGUCUGGGACUUUAUUAUAAUGAUUCUGAAAGCCUAGUUUUAUCAUCAUAGAAAAUGACAAAGAAACUUUAUUUAGAUUGAAACGAAGAGAAUAAUAUUAAAUGGAAAAGGCUGGAAUAAAAUAAUAUUUUCAUUUUGUCUUUCAAAUCAAGAUCUAGCAGACUAAUAGCAUUUUAGUGUUGAUGGGUUUUAAGUAAUUUACUGAGUAGUGCACUGUUAUUUUAGGAGCUCUCAUGAAUCAUAGGAAAUAAAUGAAUUUGCUGGUGACUUCACAGCAGACUGCAGUUGAUCAUUUUUUACUCGUUAAAUCUCCUAAGUGAUAAUGUGGAAAAAUAUCAGACUUGUGAAAAUUGCAAUAAAGUUGAAGUGGCUAAUUUUGUUACAGCCCAGCAUAUGUUUGUUUCCAAGUGUUGUAUACAAUUAGAGGGUAUUUAAUGAAGAGAAAAUGUAGCUGUGUAUUUAUCUCUUUACUCUGAAUGUUCCUUCAUUUCCUCUUUUGUAAUCUUAUAGCACUUUAUACAAUCUUGAGUCACUUUGUGACACAUUACAUUGUUGUAUAGUUGAUAGCUCUUUCUAAACUUUUGCUGAGUACAAGCUCUUUUGGGAACAUUUGUCCAGGUUGGACAUGCGACAAAUGACUCUUAUUCUCCCUAUUAUACCUAGCUUAGUGUUAGAUUAUGUUUGUCAGUUUUCCAUGUCUGUAAGAACUUCUAAAGAGAGAAGGUCUACUUUGGAGGGCAGUUUUGGAGGUUACAGUCUAUGACCAGUUGGCUCUCCCAUUUUUGUGGCUUGUAAUGAGGUCCCACAUCAUGAAGGGAGCAUGAGGCAGAGCAAAACUGUUUACAUCAUGACUAGGAAUGAAACGUGGAGGAGGGGAUAAGUUCCAAUGUCCCUUUCAAGAGCAUUCUCCCAUUGAUUUGGAGAUGUCUCCUUACAGCUGACAUCUUAGAGGUUCUACUACCUAGCAAUGUGCCACGUUGGAGACCCAGUCUAUAACACAUGGCCCUUAAGUCAGACUCUCGCACUGUUAAAAACCUACUUGAAUAUUUAAAAUGUUAUUUGAAAUAAUGGACAAUAAAAACUUUAUCAAAAUCCUUUUCUUUAGGAUAUGGAGGUAGAAUUUUUAUACAAGAGGCAGAAUAUUGCAAGCAUAAAUUUUGCAAAAUUACAGGAUAUAAUUAACAGUUGUGUGUGACCAUCUAGCCUCCUUCUGUAGGUUAGAGACAGCUUGUAAAACAGUUUUUCUUGAAUAUAUAAAAUAUAUGUUUUAUGUUGUAGUUUAGUAAUUGUCAGUAAAAUUUUUCUUUUAAACCUUCCUUAUAAGUUUUAAAUAUGUUUAAUUGAUUUUUUUUUUCUUCUCUAGGGCUUAGAGAUUGAAUCAUGGGAUGUUUUGCCAAUAAACUACAUCCCCAGACCUUUUUGAUUAUUAUAUUCUGAGAUAGGUUCUUGCUAAAUUGCUAAGGCUGGCCUCAAACUUACAAUUCUUCUGUUUCUGCCUCCUUAGUGGCUGGGAUUAUAGGCAUUUAAUGAGCAUUAUUAAAGCUAACUUGAGAUACAUGAUGCAAUUGAGGUGGAUGUGGGGUUCAAGGACAGCUUUAUAAUGUCCCAGAGAAUUAUAGAAAUGGAGAGAAUUCUACAAUAAAAAUGUGUGACAGUGCACAAGUCUUGGUAUUUUUUUUUUAAAUUUUAAUAUUUUAUCAAUUGAUCUUAUUUUUUUAGUAUCAAAGAUAUUUAUCUGAAAAAUCAGCAUAAAAAUGCCAAUGCACUUAUUCAUACUUUACCAGCCAAUGCCCAAGGUAUAAGUUUAAAUAUAAAAGAAAUAAUCUUUGAAAUUAUUUCAGCACAGGAAAACUUAAUGUUUGUCAAAAUGGAGAAUUUGCAAACGUUCAACAAGAAGACUCACAGAUCUCCAUGAGAGAUAUGGCAAGAAAUAAAAGAUGAGGUUCACUUAAUUCACAGUUUUCUGCAGGCUUGCCUUGGAUGAGGAAAAGCAUCCCAUGUGUCAUUAUCUUGCCUGGCUUAGAAUUUAGUUUCACUAUUAGAGAAAAGACCAUAUCUACCAAUGACACUAAGGCUGCUUUCCCUCUUGUGGGAGCUAUGGUAACAAUAGCACAUGCCUUUUGCAAUCAUUCUGAGUGGCAAGGCAAGGACACUCUCUACUCUGAUGCUGCCUCAAAAUGUUCUCCCACAUUCUUCUAGCUCCAGAUCAAUUUGAAGUCCCUGAUCACACAUUGUGUUGUGAUUAGUAUUGUAUCUGACACGUGGAGACGAAGCCAUAAUAUCAAGUGCUGAAUAUGUAUUCUGAAAACACAAGCCAAAGAAAGUAAGAUUUACUUUUUAUUAAAGUAGAAGCUAUUGAAUCAAAUUUACACUUGUCAAAAGAUUCUAAAUGGUCUUUAACAAUGUAGAAAAAGAGCUUUACAACUAUAAGAGAAGUCAUUUAGUAGCUGGAAAGGUCAGAAAUAUCAGCCAAGGCCAAAAGAAUUGGGAGAAUUGCAUUUUAUUUUUGCUUUUCCUGAAAGCAAUACCCAGAAGGGAGCUGUAUUUCAUAUGUCUCUUAGACGAGUUGAUAUAAUCUGGGAGUUGAUAUUAAUUUCCUUGUUUGCUGAAAUCUACUGGACAAACGAUUUUUUUUUCUGUUUAAAUCUUCAAGAAGUGAUCUUAAUCCUUUGUGUGUUUAUGAAUACAUAAUCUUGGUUGGGUUUG
rnacentral:lncRNA from 1 species